rnacentral:rRNA from 1 species
GUUUGACGUUAGCAACAGAAGAAGCACCGGCUAACUCCGUGCCAGCAGCCGCGGUAAUACGGAGGGUGCGAGCGUUAAUCGGAAUUACUGGGCGUAAAGCGCAUGCAGGUGGUCUGUUAAGCAAGAUGUGAAAGCCCGGGGCUCAACCUCGGAACAGCAUUUUGAACUGGCAGACUAGAGUACUGUAGAGGGGGGUAGAAUUUCAGGUGUAGCGGUGAAAUGCGUAGAGAUCUGAAGGAAUACCGGUGGCGAAGGCGGCCCCCUGGACAGAUACUGACACUCAGAUGCGAAAGCGUGGGGAGCAAACAGGAUUAGAUACCCUGGUAGUCCACGCCGUAAACGAUGUCUACUUGGAGGUUGUGGCCUUGAGCCGUGGCUUUCGGAGCUAACGCGUUAAGUAGACCGCCUGGGGAGUACGGUCGCAAGAUUAAAACUCAAAUGAAUUGACGGGGGCCCGCACAAGCGGUGGAGCAUGUGGUUUAAUUCGAUGCAACGCGAAGAACCUUACCUACUCUUGACAUCCAGAGAACUUUCCAGAGAUGGAUUGGUGCCUUCGGGAACUCUGAGACAGGUGCUGCAUGGCUGUCGUCAGCUCGUGUUGUGAAAUGUUGGGUUAAGUCCCGCAACGAGCGCAACCCUUAUCCUUGUUUGCCAGCAC